GCAAACACCAAAAAAUUCUGUCCUAGAUGUUAUGCUGAUAAAGAAACCUGCAUUUCAAAAGGAAUGGUAAGACAGUCUGAAGAUACCAGAAGAAUACUAAACCACUUAUCCAUUAACAACAGCAGAGAGUUGAGACAGGCUCAUGGAUUAAAACCAUCUGAAAAUCCAUUUUGGGAUAUUAUUGAUCCACACAGGGAUAUUCCAGUAGGAAUUUUACAUUGGUUGUACCUUGGCCUUGGUAAACACAUACUGAAAGCAUGUAUGCUAGAACUCUCUGAACCAAAGCAGGAACAGUUGGAUGUAUUAAUUGAAAGCAGUGAUCAGAGUGGGUUUCAAACCAAACUAUCAAGUGAUAUUGUUAGAUACAUUGACAGCAGACAAGGGAAAGACAUCAAA